GCCUUUCCUUCCUUCUCCUUUUUCGAUCUCUUAUGCUCGGAUCGAUGCCUCUUCAAGUUCUCAGGAUCAUCCGAAUCCUCAAGAACAUCUUCAGAUGACUUGGACUUCAUGAAGGAAGGUUUCUCAGGACCAAGAAUUCGACGCUCCCACUCUUCUUUCACCCUCAUCUCAGGAUUUACCGUCGCCUGCCCUGAAGGCCCAGGUGACAUGUAGGGACCAGGUUCAUCCAUCCUCGAACCUAUAGCCCCUCUCCCUCGCUUAGCCCUUGCA
rnacentral:misc_RNA from 1 species